rnacentral:rRNA from 2 species
UAGAGUUUGAUCAUGGCUCAGAUUGAACGCUGGCGGCAGGCCUAACACAUGCAAGUCGAACGGUAACAGGAAUCAGCUUGCUGAUUCGCUGACGAGUGGCGGACGGGUGAGUAAUGUCUGGGAAACUGCCUGAUGGAGGGGGAUAACUACUGGAAACGGUAGCUAAUACCGCAUAACGUCGCAAGACCAAAGAGGGGGACCUUCGGGCCUCUUGCCAUCGGAUGUGCCCAGAUGGGAUUAGCUAGUAGGUGGGGUAACGGCUCACCUAGGCGACGAUCCCUAGCUGGUCUGAGAGGAUGACCAGCCACACUGGAACUGAGACACGGUCCAGACUCCUACGGGAGGCAGCAGUGGGGAAUAUUGCACAAUGGGCGCAAGCCUGAUGCAGCCAUGCCGCGUGUAUGAAGAAGGCCUUCGGGUUGUAAAGUACUUUCAGCGGGGAGGAAGGGAGUAAAGUUAAUACCUUUGCUCAUUGACGUUACCCGCAGAAGAAGCACCGGCUAACUCCGUGCCAGCAGCCGCGGUAAUACAA